AUUUAUUUGCGUUAGGGAUGGGAACGGCAUCCUUUUUUGUGGUUUUUUCUACCACAAAAAAGAUAUAGUGUACAGCCCGACCCGAC
rfam:Flavobacterium sp. AED Contig02, whole genome shotgun sequence.